CACGGUCCAUAUGAAGGCCCAAUCAUAGGUUGUCCCUGACACUCAUUUGUUCUUCAAGAGCAAACUCAUGAAGAGGGUGUGGAACUUGCUCGCUCUGAAUCGGGAGAGGGAUCAGCUAGCUGAUAAGUCGUCAGCUAGCGAUGUGAUCAAAACCAUGCUGACUAUGAAUGAAGAGCAAAAACUAAAAUUUUGCUAUGCGCUAUGGUUCUGUCAGCCUGAUGUGGUAGAGGCAAGUCUGAACCACAAGCAGCGAGCUAGCAGGUUAUUCCCUUCCUCCAAAAUAUCCCCUUCUCUACCGUUCUUCUUCCUUGCUCUCGAAUCCUAAGCUUCCACUGCUAAUUCUCUAAUUCCCUAUCUCUCUCUGCCAAUCCAGUUACCAGGUUGCUAACAAUCGGUAUCAGAGCCACUGAUUCUCUGUCUAACACCAUGAAUCCUCUAACACCAUGAAUCCUUCUACCAAGCUUCUCCUCAACGAGAUGCGCAAGCUCUUUGCCCAGCAGAACGCGUGGUUAGAUCGGCGAUUCGCCACGUCGAUCGCGCCCAUGCCCGUGCCUUCCGCCAUGGCUUUGGUCGCGACCGCUCCUGCGCCUGCGCCUUCCGUUGCCACCUCUGUCGUGCCCGUACCUACACCUUCUGCCAUUGACAAGCCGUUCUGCGCUGCGGCGUUUCCUCCACUCUCUCCUUCCGCCAUCAACGCUAUUGACCACAGUGACCCAUCCGCCGACCAAAAGUUCGUCCAGUACAGCCUCGACGGCAAUGAGCGCUCGCCUAUGGCUGCUACGCGAACGCCGUGUACCAUCUUCUUCGAGCUGGCCGCGCCGCUGCACCUCGCCGACGGGGACGAGCUCGUCAUCCACGAUGGCACCAUUGCGGGCCCCAUCCCAGCAUCGCUCCGCUUCCUUCCGGGCCUCCGCGGUGUUGGACUGCAGGGCACCUCGUCAUUCACGAGCACCUUAUCACCGUCCUUGGCCACGACGUCCACCCAACCCACACCUAUCGUCAUCUCGGUGCCACUAGAGGUUGGAGAUGCGACUCCAAUCCUCAGUUCACUCGGGGCUGUAUCCUUGAUGGUCUCUACAGCAGUCUUGGGCAAGCCAGCCGUCCUCACCUUGGGUGCCUCUAAGGUGCUCGACAAAAUGUGGAGCCACCUCUUACAUACCACAGCUACAGUGUUGGAGGUGUCUGAGGCGGAGGACGAGGUUCCUAGCACCUUGCCCAACAGGCCAUGGCCACCACCUACAGAUCAUUGGUUGGUGAAUUGUGAUGCUGAACUACGUCCUCUACCAUGGCCGUCGUUCAAGGUGGUCGAGAGGAUUGUUGUCACGGUUCACCCUGGCCGACUUUGGAAGUCCCCAUGGCCCAUACAAAUUCACCAACAAAUCAGGUGUGUGCUCACUGACCUUGCAGUGCUCCUGGAAGUGCCCAAGCAUGUGCUGCGUUUGCCUCUUGUGGUGUUUGCCAUUCCAAACAAGCAAUCAUACACUUCAGUGCCCAGUCGACUAGUGUCUGAAGAAAUACAGAUUUAUACUUUAGGUACAGCUCCUCUUGUUAUAGAUGACAGUUCCAAGUGUUAUUUCUGUACAUUCAGGCUACUUGACAGUAGAAAAGAUCAGAAAACCUUCCAAAUGUAUGCACUGUUGAAAGUUCCUUGGUCACCGCAUGUUGGUGCAUGCAGUUCUGUGGUUUUGUGGUUUCGGGUACAGCAAAACUGUAGUGUGGGUUUAUGGUCUGAUUUUCUUGAGUCAUUUCAGUUACAUACUUGGUGGUAUGUCUGUCAAAUGGAGCAAUCUUUCUUUACUUCACUGAUUGUUCAAGGAUAUGCUUUUACUGAGAUGCGUCUUGGAUCUGUCAAUGCACCAAUUAUGCUGCAAUUUAUACUACCUAUUGGAGAGAAUGAGCUGCCAAGUGCACCAUUUGUUGAAUUUGAGCUGCUGGGUGAUUUUGAGCUACUCGAGACAUGGAUUGCAAGAGGUGAUUUUGUGCAUCCAUCAGUUACUGCUCAGUCUGAACUUCACGUGCUCAAUUAUAUCACUUCCUGUUGCAUCCAUGGUGGAUUGGUUGAACCUGUCCGGCUGUUACACUUGCCACACAUUGAAUUGGAGACCAAAUUCCAUAUGACAUUAUUGACUCAGUUCAGUACUACUAUACAGAUAUGGCGAACACCUACAACUCUCAUGAUAAGCAGUCUAGUAUUCUUAGGUUAUCUACUUGAUGCGCAGUCCAUGACAUUGGACGUCUACUGGGAACUGUUGAUGCUUGAUAUGGGGCUUCUAACUUGUAUAAUGGGGCUAUCAGUGAGUAUGGUGGGUUGUGCACUGAUUGAAGAGAUCAAACAACAGAAGUAUGGUGGCCAUUUUCGAUGUUUGUUGCUUGAAGUGACAGAACAAAAAUUUUGUGUUGCAGGAGGAAAGGCCAAGGAUCACUGGCAGGCUAAUCAAGAAUUAUUGCAGCAGUUUUUGUCUUCUGGUCCCAGCUGUACAGAAGUGUUGAAAAUUAUGCUGUGCUAUUUUGAGUUGCUCAGCUCAGAUCCUGGAGAGGCUGAUAGCUUGUGUCGACUGUUACGUACUACCGCAGUCCACUUGCCUACAUUUUGCAUAAUAACGAAGUUAUUCCUGUUCCGAUAUGAGGCUUUGUUGGACUGCAACCUGACCUCAGUACUUGUGUUGGGCACAGUUUCAGCACCUACUUGUUUAUUCAAAGUUAGCAGGAAUGCGUACACAACUUGUUGCAUUGAGUUGCAGCCAUGGCCACCUCCUACAAUACUUCAUGAAGAUGGACUAUAUUACCAUAUCAACACAUUGGUACUGGCUGAAAAUUCAGGACUCCUACUUGGUGUUGGCAAAUGGGGCCUGCUUAUACCACAUGCAUACAUGCACAAAGGAGUGUUUUUGGUGGACGGUGAACAUGUCCUGGUGGCAGCAACAUUUGCUGAAAUUGGAGCACCACGUUGGGCCUUCCCAGUAGUGGUUUGGUUUCCUAAUUGGCUGUGUUUUUUGCUUGCUUUGGAAGCAACCAUGGCAGUUACCUGCAUUGGUUGAAUUCACAGAUGAUGGCCUUGAUGAUGUGAUUGAUGAUGAUGCCGAUGAGGACAAUGGGCUUGAAGGAGAAGUUGUUGUCCCUGCUGCAUCAACUGUGCAGAAUGCUAUCGCCCCACCUGCAAUGCCCAAAAAUACUGGAAGACAACUUUCCAAGAAGGAAUUGAAGAAACAAGUGAUCGUCCAGUUUCCUUAGGAUCCUGGUGGUUCUUAACUUCUCCAUCGGCUUGGGGGCAAGCCGAAGCUUAAGAAGGGGGGAAUGUCAGGGACUACCUAUGGUUGGGCCUUCAUAUGGACCGUGGGCUUAGCCAGUCAAGAAAUUACUGCUGGACCACUGGGUGUCAUCUACAAGAGGGCUCGAGGGCAGCAGCAAAGGGGCAUCAAACAACAGACCAAACAACCUAGCAGUUACCAGGUUGCUAACAAUGAGCUCCCUCUUGAUUGAACUUUGGUAGAACACGCAUGGUGUAUCACGCCUUGUUUAGUUCCGAAAAUUUUUUGGUUUUCGGUACUGUAGCAAUUUCGUUUUUAUUUGGUAAUUAUUGUCCAAUUAUAGACUAACUAGACUCAAAAGAUUCAUCUCGCGAUUUACAUGUAAACUGUGUAAUUAGCUUUUAUUUUUAUUUAUAUUUAGUGCUUCAUGCAUGUGC